rnacentral:rRNA from 1 species
AUUGAACGCUGGCGGCAGGCCUAACACAUGAAAGUCGAGCGGAGAGGAGGACGGGUGAGUAAUGAAUAGGAAUCUGACUGGUAGUGGGGGAUCAAGUACGGAAACGGGCGCUACUCCCGCAUAAUAGCAGAAGAGACUAGGUCGGAUUAGCUAGUUGGUGGGGUAAAGGCCUACCAAGGCGACGAUCCGUAACUGGUAGGAGAGGAUGAUACGUACCACUGGAACUUGUACACGGGCCAGACUCCUACGGUAGGCAGCAGUGGGGAAUAUUGGACAAUGGUCGAAAGCCUGAUCCAGCCAUGCCGCGUGUGUGAAGAAGGUCUUCGGAUUGUAAAGCACUUUAAGUUGGGAGGCGUUACCAACAGAAUAAGCACCGGCUAACUUCGUGCCAGCAGCCGCGGUAAUAC